CUUCUCAUUUUGUCCCACACAAAGCCAAGAACCCUAGUUUGUCUAGCCGUAUUAAAGGAGAAAAAAAGGUUAUAUUCUCAUGGAUCCGUGAAGAAAUGCCGGAGGAGCUGCCAUCAGCGCGCGUGCAUUCUCGAUGUUCUUGCUCAGAUUUCGAAUCGUCGGAGCUCGCCACUUCCAGAUGGUGUCCCCGGUGACAAGAGAAUAUGCUUAGGGUUUUGAGGCUAUGGCGGAAGAAGAAGCUCCAGCGAUAAGAAGAAGAAGCUCCGGCCGCCGCGGAGGAUCCAGCGACAGCACCAGCCGUCGGCGAUGAAGCACCAAUGCAGGUGGAUUGGAGCGCCGCUCACGAACCGGCAUGUGAGCGCCCAUUCGGCAGGUUCGUGAGGCAGGAGGAUCUUGAGCGCUCCUCGCGUGGUCGUGUAUGCCAAUCCCCGGCGAUGAGUCACAGGGCGAUAGCCUCGUUUCAAGCAGAAACGAUAAGUGGAAGCCCGUCUGGGCUCCACUCGACGAGGACACUCCCGUGGGAGAUCGCCGAGUGGUUAAACCAGAAUCCUCGCGUGGAGUUUUGAGUCUUGCCAGCCGAGUACAUCCAGAAGUUCUACUAUAUUGUGAUGAAGAAGAAGGAGAAGGAGAAGCAACGCCAGGAGCUCGCUGCUGGGUUUGCAUCACAGCGAGAAGAAAGAAGUGAAAACUCUGGAAAACGUAGAACAGAUGCCAACCUUUCUUACUCAGAAGAAACACCAGAAGAGUGUGCUCGGAAGAGUGUGCUCUCUCUCUCUCUCUCUCUCUCUCUCCUCCUUGCGUGUUUCUGAGUUGAAUGGUUGAUAGCCUUGUACUUUCAGGAAUCCUGGCGUUGACGACGAAGACAAUCAUCUCUGGACAAUAAGAAGUCAUGAAAAGGAGAUACGAGCUGCUUUGUCAGCUACAAGUGAAGCUGCGGGAUCUCGGGGGACUAACGUCAAGUCUCAAGCUUACAAAGAGGUGAAAGCAAGUCCCGGAGAGCAAGUGCUUCCUCAGAUUCGGUGACGAACGGGACACCCAUGCCUCGACAGAUGAGUAUGCAAAGUUGCAAAGGAUCCAGCACGCUCAAGCUCGGCGUUCACAGAUUGUCGGUUGCAACGCUGCACCUAACGAGCUCCUUAUGUGGGGGUUUUCUUGGAAUCUGACGCUUUCUUCUUUAGCGAUGGAUGUGAUCCUUUCUUGUCUUUCUUUCUUUUGUUUUGGUGCAUCCAUUUCAGGAGGGGUCUCUAGUUGUUUCAUGUGCUGAAAGCACUGUGAAGGUAUGAAAUUCAUCAACUGCUGAGUGCCUCUACACUCUGGGGCCUGGUUCUGACGAAAACAACGUGGCUGGUCAUAAGAAAGAAAACCUCUGCAAUGGCCGCUAAUCCGUCUCAAACCUGCCUUGUGGCAACAAGUAGUGGUCAAGGCGAUCGACAACUGCUUUUGUAGAGAAACGCUUGUACCAGAAUUAAUCUCACGG